rnacentral:rRNA from 1 species
UACGAAGGGUGCAAGCGUUAAUCGGAAUUACUGGGCGUAAAGGGUGCGCAGGCGGUUCUGUAAGUCAGAUGUGAAAUCCCCGGGCUCAACCUGGGAACUGCGUUUGGUACUGGCAAGCUAGAGUACGGCAGAGGGGGGUGGAAUUCCACGUGUAGCAGUGAAAUGCGUAGAGAUGUGGAGGAACACCGAUGGCGAAGGCAGCCCCCUGGGCCGAUACUGACGCUCAGGCACGAAAGCAUGGGGAGCAAACAGG